rnacentral:rRNA from 1 species
GACGAACGCUGGCGGCGUGCUUAACACAUGCAAGUCGAACGGAAAGGCCCUGCUUUUGUGGGGUGCUCGAGUGGCGAACGGGUGAGUAACACGUGAGUAACCUGCCCUUGACUUUGGGAUAACUUCAGGAAACUGGGGCUAAUACCGGAUAGGAGCUCCUGCUGCAUGGUGGGGGUUGGAAAGUUUCGGCGGUUGGGGAUGGACUCGCGGCUUAUCAGCUUGUUGGUGGGGUAGUGGCUUACCAAGGCUUUGACGGGUAGCCGGCCUGAGAGGGUGACCGGCCACAUUGGGACUGAGAUACGGCCCAGACUCCUACGGGAGGCAGCAGUGGGGAAUAUUGCACAAUGGGCGGAAGCCUGAUGCAGCAACGCCGCGUGCGGGAUGACGGCCUUCGGGUUGUAAACCGCUUUCGCCUGUGACGAAGCGUGAGUGACGGUAAUGGGUAAAGAAGCACCGGCUAACUACGUGCCAGCAGCCGCGGUGAUACGUAGGGUGCGAGCGUUGUCCGGAUUUAUUGGGCGUAAAGGGCUCGUAGGUGGUUGAUCGCGUCGGAAGUGUAAUCUUGGGGCUUAACCCUGAGCGUGCUUUCGAUACGGGUUGACUUGAGGAAGGUAGGGGAGAAUGGAAUUCCUGGUGGAGCGGUGGAAUGCGCAGAUAUCAGGAGGAACACCAGUGGCGAAGGCGGUUCUCUGGGCCUUUCCUGACGCUGAGGAGCGAAAGCGUGGGGAGCGAACAGGCUUAGAUACCCUGGUAGUCCACGCUGUAAACGGUGGGUACUAGGUGUGGGGUCCAUUCCACGGGUUCCGUGCCGUAGCUAACGCUUUAAGUACCCCGCCUGGGGAGUACGGCCGCAAGGCUAAAACUCAAAGGAAUUGACGGGGCCCCGCACAAGCGGCGGAGCAUGCGGAUUAAUUCGAUGCAACGCGUAGAACCUUACCUGGGUUUGACAUGGAUCGGGAGUGCUCAGAGAUGGGUGUGCCUCUUUUGGGGUCGGUUCACAGGUGGUGCAUGCCUGUCGUCAGCUCGUGUCGUGAGAUGUUGGGUUAAGUCCCGCAACGAGCGCAACCCUUGUUCACUGUUGCCAGCACGUUAUGGUGGGGACUCAGUGGAGACCGCCGGGGUCAACUCGGAGGAAGGUGGGGAUGACGUCAAGUCCUCAUGCUCCUUAUGUCCAGGGCUUCACGCAUGCUACAAUGGCUGGUACAGAGAGUGGCGAGCCUGUGAGGGUGAGCGAAUCUCGGAAAGCCGGUCUCAGUUCGGAUUGGGGUCUGCAACUCGACCUCAUGAAGUCGGAGUCGCUAGUAAUCGCAGAUCAGCAACGCUGCGGUGAAUACGUUCCCGGGGCU